GACGAACGCUGGCGGCGUGCUUAACACAUGCAAGUCGUACGGUAAGGCCCUUUCGGGGGUCCACGAGUGGCGAACGGGUGAGUAACACGUGAGUAACCUGCCCACAACUUUGGGAUAACGCUAGGAAACUGGUGCUAAUACUGGAUAUGUGCUCCUGCUGCAUGGUGGGGGUUGGAAAGCUCCGGCGGUUGUGGAUGGACUCGCGGCCUAUCAGCUUGUUGGUGGGGUAGUGGCCUACCAAGGCGGCGACGGGUAGCCGGCCUGAGAGGGUGACCGGCCACAUUGGGACUGAGAUACGGCCCAGACGCCUACGGGAGGCAGCAGUGGGGAAUAUUGCACAAUGGGCGCAGGCCUGAUGCAGCAACGCCGCGGGCGGGAGGACGGCCUUCGGGUUGUAAACCGCUUUCAGCAGGGACGAAGCUUUUUGUGACGGUACCUGCAGAAGAAGCACCGGCUAACUACGUG
rnacentral:rRNA from 1 species